GGCUUUCUUGGUGAUGAAUGUGGCAUUUUUGAGGACAUUGUAAAUGCAUGUAUUUCGUACAUUACUGCCAGCCACCAUGAAUAUUGUACA
rnacentral:ncRNA from 1 species